GAUGAACGCUGGCGGCGUGCCUAACACAUGCAAGUCGAGCGGAAUUUACAUGAAGCCUAGCGAUUGUUAAUUUAGUGGCGGACGGGUGAGUAACGCGUGGGUAACCUGCCUUGUACUGGGGGACAACAGUUGGAAACGACUGCUAAUACCGCAUAAGCGCACAGCUUCGCAUGAAGCAGUGUGAAAAACUCCGGUGGUACAAGAUGGACCCGCGUCUGAUUAGCUGGUUGGUGAGGUAACGGCCCACCAAGGCGACGAUCAGUAGCCGGCCUGAGAGGGUGAACGGCCACAUUGGGACUGAGACACGGCCCAAACUCCUACGGGAGGCAGCAGUGGGGAAUAUUGCACAAUGGGGGAAACCCUGAUGCAGCAACGCCGCGUGAGUGAAGAAGUAUUUCGGUAUGUAAAGCUCUAUCAGCAGGGAAGAAAAUGACGGUACCUGACUAAGAAGCCCCGGCUAACUACGUG
rnacentral:rRNA from 1 species